UUAGCGUCCUGGUCGCUCGCGCCCCGCCGACGCCUCCUUUUUCUCUCCCUACCUCUGCGCUCUCCGGCCGCCGCUGAGAUCUGGGACGGCGGCACAUCCAGCCCGGGAGACGACUGGCUAGGAAAUGGAACUAUACUGGAGGUAAAGCUGAAUAACUGUUGCGGGCCGGGCGCAGUGGCUCACGCCUGUAAUCCCAGCACUUUGGGAGGCCGAGGCAGGUGGAUCACGAGGUCAAGAGUUCAAGACCAGCCUGACCAAGAUGGUGAAACCCCCGUCUCUACUAAAAAUACAAAAAUCAGCCAGGCGCAGUGGCAGGCGCCUGUAAUCCCAGCUACUCGGGAGUCUGAGGCAGAAUUGCUUGAACCUGGGGGGCGGAGGUUGCAGUGAGCCGAGAUUGUGCCACUGUACUCCAGCCUGGGUGACAGAGUGAUACUCCAUCUCAAAAAAGCAAAAACAAAAACAAAGCUGAAUAACUGCUUAUUCAUUUUUUCCCUAAGAAUUUUGAUAUACUUGUUAAUAAAAAUUAAAAUGUUA